AGUGAACGCUGGCGGUAGGCCUAACACAUGCCAGUCGAACGGCAGCACAGUAAGAGCUUGCUCUUACGGGUGGCGAGUGGCGGACGGGUGAGGAAUACAUCGGACUCUACUUUUUCGUGGGGGAUAACGUAGGGAAACUUACGCUAAUACCGCAUACGACCUACGGGUGAGAGCAGGGGAUCUUCGGACCUUGCGCGAUUGAAUGAGCCGAUGUCGGAUUAGCUAGUUGGCGGGGUAAAGACCCACCAAGGCGACGAUCCGUAGCUGGUCUGAGAGGAUGAUCAGCCACAUUGGAACUGGGACACGGUCCAGACUCCUACGGGAGGCAGCAGUGGGGAAUAUGGGACAAUGGGCGCAAGCCUGAUCCAGCCAUACCGCGUGGGUGAAGAAGGCCUUCGGGUUGUAAAGCCCUUUUGUUGGGAGAGAAAAGCAGCAGGUUAAUACCCCGCUGUUCUGACGGUACCCAAAGAAUAAGCACCGGCUAACUUCGUG
rnacentral:rRNA from 1 species